UGAGGUAAAAAAACAUUAGUUUAUCAUAAAAUUUAGCAAAAUGAGAACGAUUUAUAUCUAUGUGUGUCAUAACCCAGUGGCUAUGCCGCAGCGCCCUACAGGACAACCCGCACCAGUAACUCUGGCGAUAUGUGACAUGACCUGCCCAAUAUGCUUGGCACUAAAAGGGUUAAACUUCUGAUUAAUCUAUGUAGUAUUAAACCCCAUCUCCUCGAACAUAUUGUAUAAUGUCCUUUUUCUCCUCAUUACAGCUAUUUUUUAUACAAUAUAAAAGUUCUAUCUACAGUCUUGUCUCAUGUAUAUUGCUGUCAAGAGGCACUGGAAACUUUUUGUUACAUUUGUAGCAGUUGAAAAAACAUUUUAUGUAACAAAAUUUACAAAGAGUACAUCACUUUAUUCAUAAUAAUAUUACUUUUGAUUCGUAACAUCUUGUUGUUAAUCAAUACAAACUAUUUAAAACCUUUUUCAAGUGUUGUGUUGGCAUCCAUUGUGACUAAAAACAAUUGCUUAAGUGUUUUCCGUUUGGGAGUGCCGAUGGCCAAGCGGUCUAAGACGACUUGUGAUCUCAGUUAGAGAUAGCGCAGGUUCAGAUCCUGUGUGUGACUGUAACACUUUUAUCAGUACUGUCGACCUUGUACUGUUCCGAAUCACCCCCUUAUUCUGUUUGAUAAGGUUCUCGCACAGGCCAGUGGCCCAUGAAGACAGGCAAAAUAAGUCUUAAAAUGAGAAUGGCCUUUACAGCCAGGUCUUGCCAUCUAACUUGCCUAUACAGAUGGCUGGGCACCUUUACAAGCGUUUUUUUAUGCUGAAGUAGAAUGCUCUCUAUAGCCAAUCACACUCAGUUUCAUUGUAAUUCAGAGCUUAAGAGUUAUGUAAAAAAUGCUGCUUAACUUAGUUUUAUUUUGGUUUAUUUACAGGUUGACAAGUUUAAUGCUCUAUCAAGUUGAAGUUGAAGUUUCUAACAUUUCAUGAUGUGCAGAAAAGAAUUAACAUAACAGAAACUUUUGGAAACUUUUCCUUAAGAGGGACUGUUAGCACAUAUAAGAUUCCCUGGGGUUUUCAGCCCUCCAGGUUUAUGGCAAGAUUGCUUUAAUUUAAAUUUAUUAUAAAUAUUAAUAGUUUAAAAAGAAUAAAAAAAUAAUGUUUUAAUAUUAGUAUAAGCAAAACACAUUGUUAAUUAGUAAUUGCACAUAUCUGUAUAGUUUUACAAAGUAAUUGCACAUGUAUGUACAGUUUUACAAAGUAAUUGCACAUGUCUGUAUAGUUUUACAAAGUAAUUGCACAUGUCUAUAUAGUUUUACAAAUUCAAGUUUUUGAAUAAAUGUUGUUAUC